UACGUAGGUGGCAAGCGUUGUCCGGAUUUAUUGGGUUUAAAGGGUGCGUAGGCGGCUUUGUAAGUCAGUGGUGAAAUAUGGCAGCUCAACUGUCAGGGUGCCAUUGAUACUGCGGAGCUUGAGUACAGAUGAGGUAGGCGGAAUUGACGGUGUAGCGGUGAAAUGCUUAGAUAUCGUCAGGAACACCGAUAGCGAAGGCAGCUUACUAGGCUGUAACUGACGCUGAGGCACGAAAGUGUGGGGAUCAAACAGG
rnacentral:rRNA from 1 species